rnacentral:rRNA from 1 species
AGCAGCCGCCGCGGUAAUACGGAGGGAGCUAGCGUUGUUCGGAAUUACUGGGCGUAAAGCGCACGUAGGCGGUUAUUCAAGUCAGAGGUGAAAGCCCGGGGCUCAACCCCGGAACUGCCUUUGAAACUAGAUGACUAGAAUCUUGGAGAGGUCAGUGGAAUUCCGAGUGUAGAGGUGAAAUUCGUAGAUAUUCGGAAGAACACCAGUGGCGAAGGCGACUGACUGGACAAGUAUUGACGCUGAGGUGCGAAAGCGUGGGGAGCAAACAGGAUUAGAUACCCGGGUAGUCCCUGUCUCUUAUAC